rnacentral:snRNA from 1 species
AUCAGCGUGCUCCGGGCGUCG